GAUGAACGCUGGCGGCGUGCUUAACACAUGCAAGUCGAACGGAAAGGCCUGUACUUGUACAGGUACUCGAGUGGCGAACGGGUGAGUAACACGUGGGUGAUCUGCCCUGCACUGUGGGAUAAGCCCGGGAAACUGGGUCUAAUACCAUAUAGGACCACUUCUUGGAUGUUGUGGUGGAAAGCUCUUGCGGUGUGGGAUGAGCCUGCGGCCUAUCAGCUUGUUGGUGGGGUAAUGGCCUACCAAGGCGGCGACGGGUAUCCGGCCUGAGAGGGUGUACGGACACAUUGGGACUGAGAUACGGCCCAGACUCCUACGGGAGGCAGCAGUGGGGAAUAUUGCACAAUGGGCGCAAGCCUGAUGCAGCGACGCCGCGUGGGGGAUGACGGCCUUCGGGUUGUAAACUCCUUUCGCUAUCGACGAAGCCACCUUGGGUGGUGACGGUAGGUAGAUAAGAAGCACCGGCUAACUACGUGCCAGCAGCCGCAGUAA
rnacentral:rRNA from 1 species